rnacentral:rRNA from 1 species
GACGAACGCUGGCGGCGUGCUUAACACAUGCAAGUCGAACGGAAAGGCCCUGCUUUUGUGGGGUGCUCGAGUGGCGAACGGGUGUGUAACACGUGAGUAACCUGCCCUUGACUUUGGGAUAACUUCAGGAAACUGGGGCUAAUACCGGAUAGGAGCUUCUGAUGCGUGGUGGGGGUUGGAAAGUUUCGGCGGUUGGGGAUGGACUCGCGGAUUAUCAGCUUGUUGGUGGGGUAGUGGCUUACCAAGGCUUUGACGGAUAGACGGCCUGAGAGGGUGACCGGCCACAUUAGGACUGAGAUACGGCCCAGACGCGUACGGUAGGCAGCAGUGGGGAAUAUUGCAGAAUGGGCGGAAGCCAGAGGCAGCAACGCCGCGUGCGGGAUGACGUCCUUCGGGUUGUAAACAGCUGUCGACUGUGACGAAGCGUGAGUGACGGUAAUGGGUAAAGAAGCACCGGCUAACUACGUG